rnacentral:rRNA from 1 species
UGGGGAAUAUUGCACAAUGGGGGAAACCCUGAUGCAGCGACGCCGCGUGAGUGAAGAAGUAAUUCGUUAUGUAAAGCUCCAUCAGCAGGGAAGAAAAUGACGGUACCUGAGUAAGAAGCCCCGGCUAACUACGUGCCAGCAGCCGCGGUAAUACGUAGGGGGCAAGCGUUAUCCGGAUUUACUGGGUGUAAAGGGAGCGUAGACGGCAGUGCAAGUCUGGAGUGAAAGGCGGGGGUUCAACCCCCGGACUGCUCUGGAAACUGUACGGCUGGAGUGCAGGAGAGGUAAGUGGAAUUCCUAGUGUAGCGGUGAAAUGCGUAGAUAUUAGGAGGAACACCAGUGGCGAAGGCGGCUUACUGGACUGUAACUGACGUUGAGGCUCGAAAGCGUGGGGAGCAAACAGG